ACUUUAUUAAUCCAAGAGGGAAAGAUGGUGUCCCAGUGCCUAUUGUGAGAUCUCAACAUAGAAACUAUGAGAAACUUUGUUGUAGAUAAAUAUAAGGAGAGACAAAGAUGAAGGAUUUUGAUCAAAUAACGUCCUGAUGCAUCUCAGUAAUCCAGGCAGUAAAAUCUUAAAAGUUGAGUAGGUCUUCCAGACAGAUUAAAUCUCUAUUUUUCUGUCUGACUGGGGAAAAAUAUAUUUUAAAUCUGCUGUUGUGAAACAUGGAUUCUACAAAAAGCUCAGAGAUAAACUCUGUCAGUCUCCUUUCAGAUUUCCUUCAACAGAAACAAAAAUCAGAUCUCAUGAAUCUCAGAGGCUGAAGUUCUGCUUCAUCUCAUCAUCAGUUUAAAAGGCUGUCAGCAGUUUGUGGGUGAAGCAACCUCGACCUUCAGUGGAUCCUCAGAGGACAAAGUUGUCGUUGGAGGAGACGUUCAGGGACAGACAGACGGAGAUGGACGGGAAGAGAGCCAGAAAUUCAUUCAGAGACGUUAAUAAAAUCAAAGAGCCCCAUAUGAUCAAGCAUGAAGUACAUUACAAAGGUAAUGUGAAUUUAAGUUCAGAUCCUUUCAUUAUGAGAAACCGUGAGCUGCUGCUCGGCAGCGCACAGACACCGUCGAAUUUAUGAGGCCAACUUCCUGAAUCUAAUAGAAGGAUUCAGGUGUUACUAAUGGACGGAGGAGCGAGGUAAUAGAGGAGAGAAGGAGCUAAUGUGGAGUGAUGGAGACCGACGAGAGACACGGCAGGAUAAAGAGAAACAGAUGAAGACAAAUGACAGAAGAAGAAAAGUUAGAGACCUUUUGAAGAGGAAAAGGUGAAGAAAUUUCAUUUCUUUCAUUUUGAUGAAAGAUCAGAGUUUAACUUGAAACAAUUGCAUCUCAAUAAAACGCAUCCUCACCUUCA